rnacentral:rRNA from 1 species
GUGAGGAAUUUUGCGCAAUGGGGGAAACCCUGACGCAGCAACGCCGCGUGAGUGAUGAAGGCCUUCGGGUCGUAAAGCUCUGUCAAGUGGGAAGAACCUGCUUCGUGAUAAUAACAUGGAGCACUGACGGUACCACUGAAGGAAGCACCGGCUAACUCCGUGCCAGCAGCCGCGGUAAUACGGGGGGUGCAAGCGUUAUUCGGAAUCACUGGGCGUAAAGGGCGCGUAGGCGGUUUCGUAAGUCAGAUGUGAAAGCCCGGGGCUCAACCCCGGAAGUGCAUCUGAUACUGCGUGACUUGAGUAUGGGAGAGGGAAGUGGAAUUCCUGGUGUAGCGGUGAAAUGCGUAGAUAUCAGGAGGAACACCGGUGGCGAAGGCGACUUCCUGGACCAAUACUGACGCUGAGGCGCGAAGGCGUGGGGAGCAAACAGGAUUAGAAACCCUAGUAGUCC